AAUUUUCAAUAAAGUUGUCUUUAGAAUUUAAUGUUUCCUUUUAAUAAGAAUUUUACUGACCACUCCGCUCGGUCAGAAACUGCAUUGUCCGCCCUCAGUUUGCUUUUAUUAUUUUGUGUAACCGCCUAUUAACUAUUAACCGAGGGACAAUGUGCCAUAAACCGACAGCAGAGGGAAGGAUCCUAGAUUGCCCCGAAACUCCUUCAGCUGAGCGUCGCUUUGUCACCUGAAGGAAAGGGAUCGAAAGCAAGGACUGAGGCAGGAGCUGGAGCUGUUUAUGUUUAUGGUUGUGUCUGCUUUGUUUGUCAAGCGAUUAAGUUGUAAUUAUGCGUUGCUACGUGGUCGACUCGGAGCUGCAAAGUCGGUGGCUGGAACGAAGCAUUUGCUUGGUUUUCGGUUCGGUUCCCCAAGGAUGUGAUCUGGCAAGGCAAAUGAACUAAAGGCCUCUGGCUCAAUAAUACAGGGUUAAAUGUUUUUUUUUUAUUUCUGGGUAUAAAGUCACAUGUUACAAUUGCAAUUAAAACACCAAAGAUUCUGAGAAAAAAUGUGACGGUCAGUCGACAAAGAAAAAACGGACAGGAAAAAGCGGUAAAGUGCUAAAAAUAGAUGGCAUUUCCCUCUUUUCCGCCCUCGAGCAUUGACAUCGCAAAGCCAAAAGAUGGAAAACUGAAAAAUGGCAAGGCAUGAAAUUAAGAAGUGACAUUACUGUUGCGUGCCACAAAGCACAAAAGUGAAAAGAGUGUGUGCAACUGAGACUGAGACUGGGACUGAGACUGAGACUGAGACUAGAAAACGGAAAAGGAAAAGGAAAUGAGAGCGGUGCAAAGUGCGAAAGGAUACGAAACAUCGCAACGUAAUGGAAAAAAGAAAUUGAAAGUAGAGAAGGCGAAAAAUAGAAGAAGAGAAA